AAGUCGUAACAAGGUCUCCGUAGGUGAACCUGCGGAGGGAUCAUUACAGAGUUCAUGCCCUAUAGGGUAGAUCUCCCACCCUUUGUCUUAUAAUACCUCUGUUGCUUUGGCAGUUCUGCUGGUUAAGCGGCCCUGCCAGAGGACCCCCAACUCUGAGAGUUAGUGUCGUCUGAGUACUAUAUAAUAGUUAAAACUUUCAGCAACGGAUCUCUUGGCUCUCCUAUCGAUGAAGAACGCAGCGAAAUGCGAUAAGUAAUGUGAAUUGCAGAAUUCAGUGAAUCAUCGAAUCUUUGAACGCACCUUGCGCCCUUUGGUAUUCCGAAGGGCAUGCCUGUUUGAGUGUCAUUAAAUUAUCAACCUUGCUUGCUUUUACUAGCUCGCUCGGCUUGGAUGUGAGGGCUUUGCUGGCUUCCUUCAGUGGAUGGUCUGCUCCCUUUAAAUGCAUUAGUGGGAUCUCUUGUGGACCGUCACUUGGUGUGAUAAUUAUCUAUGCCAGUUGACUUUGAAGCAAAAUUAUGGGAACCCGCUUAUAACCGUCCGCAAGGACAACUCUUGACAUUUUGACCUCAAAUCAGGUAGGACUACCCGCUGAACUUAA
rnacentral:rRNA from 1 species